GAAAAGAUUUAGUUCCAGCAAAAUUCAGCGUGAUCAAAUCUAAGAAAAUAUAAUAUUACUGAAUUAUAUUCCAUUUACUCAAGUGAUUUUGAUCGAUAUGAUGUUCAAUUGCUGUUUGUAGUUUGUAGCAUGCGAGAGAAGACCAUUAAAGGGCCAAGUAGGGAAAGGCCAAUUAGCUACUUUUGAUCGAUAUUUUUUGUCUCGUCAGCAGUUGUUGAGUAGAAUGAGAGGAAAUAAUUUCGGAGUUUGUCAUGGCUGUAGAAGUAACACUCACUACUUUGGAUAAUGCCAAACAAAACGUGGAUGCCCUUCAUGUAAAAGCAGAUUUCGAAAAUGCUUUGAGGUAGAAAGGGAUACUGAAAACAAAGGGUGCUUGUUCUUCACGUAUAGUAACAACCGUGGAUAUUUCGAUUGGGUGAAAAAUGAAGAUUUGAACAGGGAGUCAAGUACCAUUAACGAAGAGGUGAAGCAUGAGCCCAAUGAGAAAUACGAAGCCUUUACAAGAGUCUUCGACAGCCUAGCUCGAAUUAUCGAGAAACGAGAUGUCGACAUAACAUUGCAUGUUACAUUUUUGCAAAGAAAAAGGAAUUGUAAAAAGUGAUGGGAAGGGGUAGGGACCGACGUGAAUGGGUGAUGUCAAUUUGUAGUUGCUAUAUGCUUUAUUGGUACCGUAAGAACUUCUUGGUCAUAGUAGUCUUCGAUGUCCAACGCUUGAUUUUGUCAACGUCGUUCAAGCUUUGGACAUAAGUUUAAUAUUUUACGAAUUGUUGUAAUGCUUAGUUUUGCAUCAUUUUGUUCAAGAAUUAGUAGAGCCCUUCGUUUAUGUUUCUGUCCGUAGAUAAGAUAAGAAUCAC
rnacentral:lncRNA from 1 species